UUUGCACACUAUAUUAGGUAAUGCCUGCCCAGUGACCAUGUGUUCAACGGCCGCGGUAUUCUGACCGCGCGAAGGUAGCGUAAUCACUUGUCUUCUAAAUAGAGACUAGUAUGAACGGCCACACGAAGACUUAACUGUCUCCCCUGUCCAAUCAGUGAAACUGAUCUCCUCGUGCAGAAGCGAGGAUAAACACAUAAGACGAGAAGACCCUAUGGAGCUUUAAACUUAAUAUCAACUACCCUCUUUUACCCCUCUAAGGAGCUGACAAGAUUACUAGACUCGAUAUAAGUUUUAGGUUGGGGCGACCAUGGAGAAAAAAACAACCUCCCUGAUGAUUUUAAACCAAGAGCCACAGCUCUAAGUAUGAAGACUCUUAACUCCCAUUGACCCAUUUUUUUGAUCAACGAACCA
rnacentral:rRNA from 1 species